AUGGGAAACUUUUGGAGGUCUUUACCCCAUCUAGGGGACUUCGACAAGGUGACCCACUAUCCCCGUUUUCUAUUCCUAUUUAUUGUUGAUGCCUUGUCUGCCCUGAUCUCUAAAUCGGUGGACGAGGGGAAUUUGAAAGGGGUGAGUAUUUGUCGAGGUGCGCUGAUCAUAUCGCACCUCCUAUUUGCGGAUGAUACUAUGCUGUUCUUUGAAGCCUCAGGAGAACAAGCAAAUGUGGUAAAAGGUUUGUUGAACACUUAUUCCUCGGCGACGGGUCAACUCAUUAAUCCCGAGAAGUGUUCCAUUCUUUUUUCGGAUAAUUGCAAUGAGCCGGUGGCGGAAGAGGUCAAGAGCAUCCUGGAGAUAACACAACAAGUGUUCGAGCCAAAAUACUUAGGCCUUCCUGUGCCAGAGGGUAGAGUGCACAAAGGGCAGUUUGAAAUGCUACAGGAAAGGCUAAGGAAGAGGCUAGUUGACUGGAGUGAACAAUACAUGUCAGUGGGAAACAAGUAG
rnacentral:rRNA from 1 species